AAAGAAACUUGGUCUCCCGGUGCUUCAGUGCAUGGAAAGAGGCUGUUGAGCUGAAGGCAUAUUACAAGAGCAGCCUGAUGCAUCUCAGAGUAGAAUCAAUGAGGAAAUACUUCCAGCAGUGGUUUCGGAUGCUGCAGGUCAGAGAAAGCAAUAAGCAGGCAAUGGUGAACCUCCUCUUCCUGAGAUGGAGGCAGCAUUAUGGACCAGCUGUAAGCUCAGUAUCUUACACGACUGCAACAGAAGGAGAUGACAGGCAGUCACGAUGGACUGUAGUGACACAGGUUCCUGAGAAAACAGGCUACUCUCUUGAUGACUUCUGCCUAAAGAUGAAACUCCAGAGAGUGUAUCUGUUGUGGAAAGAGAGGCUGUACGAGCACUGCAGAGCUGAUUCUUUCUCUCAGGCUUUGGAGGAGUGUAGACUCAGAAAAGCUCUGAAAUUAUGGCACCAGAAGUAUCUCAUGCUAAUGAUGAACAAACAAAGUCCUCAGCACUCUCACAGGGCUGUCUAUGAGGAACCUCUUGCUGUGCUUUUUUGUGAGGAACGCUCAACAUCUUCUGGCUUCCACAGCAGUGCUCCAACUACUCUUGCCUCUCAAAGCUCACUGGAAAAGGAAUAUAGUUUUAGUGACAGCAGCCAGCAGAGCUGCUCCUCUGUUCUGACUGCUGAAGAUGUGACAUACCUGCCCUAUUACAGUUCUUUCCUGCAACUACACCAAAGUGCAGAGCUGCCAGCUGAGCUGGGUGGAGAGCUGUGCUUGCAGGCUUCCUUUCCUCCAUGGAGAACUGGAUCUGGAGAAAAUUGGUUUGUGGGAGGUCAGUUUCAGUCUUUGGCACUGCAGAAUGCAGACAAUAAUGUCCAGCCUCUUGUCAGUUACUCUACAUGGGAAGAGGACUGCAGCUCCGAGAAGGAGGUGGAGACUUCCUGGCACCAAGUGGAGAAAUGCUGCCUGCAGAAGUACUUUAUCUUCUGGUCCACUCGAACUCAGCAACUCACAAAAGCCCAGCAGUACUGCAGGCUUCUUCAGCUGUCUCGAGCCUUUCUCAGAUGGCACCGCUGGGCUGCAGAGAACAAGAACCAGGAAGUAGUAGCAGCCCUUAAAUACCAAUUUAAUUGCUGCCGGAUGGCCUUCAGCUUGUGGAAGAAGAGGCUGGCCCAGAAAGUGGAAGCUGACCAGAGAUUUAGGUGUCACCUCCACCAGAUGACUGCUGGUGCUCUUCUGCAUUGGCAUUCCUACUGUCAAAGGAAGUGUAACAUGAAGGAGCUGCAGCAGAGAUGGGCUCAGCAUAGCUGCCAGAAGAAGAAGAGAUUGAUCCUGCAGACGUGGCGCUGCCAAACAAGGCAGCUGAAAAAUGCUGCUUUAUUCUGGGAGCGUCUCCUCCUGCACAGGUGCAUAGUCACCUGGGCCCAGGUCACUGCCUGCAGACUGAGGCAGCAAGAAGCCCUCUGUUAUUUUAGAAGGGUCAGAGAGCACCAUCUUCUAGAAGUGAGUUUUGCAGAAUGGAGAGUGAAGUUCUUGACAGCUAAACAGCAGUUGCUGAGAGAGGAGAAAAACCACAAGUGGCAUGAGUGUACUCAAGCUAAAGCCUGCCAGCGCUGGCGAUUGGCCUCAAGGGGACAGCAAGCCCUACACUUGGGGUCUGUGGCCACUGUGAAACAGGCCUGCAACUACUGGACAAAAGCAGCUGCCUUUUCCCAGUGCUCACGGCAAUGCAGUACCCUGAUAGGUGCUAGGAAGAGCAAGAAGAUGUCUUUGUCUUUGUCCAUAAUGCUGUUCACCGCUGGCUGGUGAUCUACAGAAGCCAAAGGAGGACUGAAAGGCUGCUGCUUCCUCAACAACUAGAGAGACAUGAUUUGGUAGGACCCAUCCCUGUGCAUGCGAGAAUCCAGGAGAACAAAGCAGAGGUGGACUCUGAUGAGCGGAAUGAGAAUUGGCUUGGGAGGAAAUACCUGAGGUGGUGGCAUCACACAGUGACUCUGCGCCGGUGCCAGCGUGCCAAGAGGCUGCGCAGUCUGGCAAGGGGGUGGCAGCAAUGGAAAGAAGCCAGCAGGGUGGUGAUGCUGGCACAGGUGUUGGACCAGCAGCGGCUGAUAGAAAAGGCCUGGAGAGCAUGGAGACGACGAUAUUUACAAAGCUGUGUAGUGCAGAGGUUUUUGGAGGUCGAAGCCAGGAGCCUACUGUCUGAGGCAUUUAGAAGAUGGCGUCAGCUCACAGCAUUCCAACUCAAGGACAGAGGACACUGCUGAAUGGUGAGGCCUGCCUGCAGCUGCUCAUUUCAGGAGUGGAGGAUACAGCUGGCUGUCACAACAAAGAGCUGGUUUCUUGCAAUCAAGAAAGCAGUGCAUGAUCUACCUGUGUGAUUAAAAACAGUGCUGCAGGCCCAAAGCAUGGUGAUAGCCAAAGGACAACCAGGAAGAGGUGGUACCUAGAGAAAAGUCUUAUUUAAAGCACUGAUAUUCUGCCUCCCUACUGCCACAAACUUGGGAACUUACUCAAUUGUUUUUGUUGUGAGGUUGCAUUCCCUUUUCUGCUAGAGCCUGAUUUUGUUGGAGUUCUGAUUAAAAGUCAAAAAAUACUUUAUAGGACCUCCC
rnacentral:lncRNA from 7 species